UAUGAAGAACGUAGCGAAAUGCGAUACGUAGUGUGAAUUGCAGAAUUCCGUGAACCAUCAAAUCUUUGAACGCAUAUUGCGCUCGAGGCUUCGGCCGAGAGCAUGUCUGCCUCAGCGUCGGUAUUACCCCUCGCUUCUCAGCCCCUGGUUGAUGCCUGCCUGCCUUUGCAGUUGGCUAGAAGCGGAUCUGGCUUUCCCAAUUGCCUUUGGUAGUUGGGUCAGCUGAAGCACAGAGGCUUGAGCAAGGACCCUUAUUGGGCUUCAACUGGAUAGGUAGAACUGGUCUUAGGACCAACUACACGAAGUUGUUGCUUGUGGUCUUUGUCUGGAGGCCAGCAGGAAACCUUUAUACCUUCGACCUGAGCUCAGGCAAGAUUACCCGCUGAACUUAAGCAUAUCAAUAAGCGGAGGA
rnacentral:misc_RNA from 1 species